AAUAAAUAUUAUUAAUAACAAUUAAUGUAAAUAAAUUACUUGCUACAAUGAUAUUUAUAAUAAUAUAGCACAAUAACGAGAAAUUAUUGAGUGCACCCAAAAAAAAAAGAAAGCAGCAAGUGGUUGUUACUUAUAUUUCACACACGCGUGUUAAUCGGUAAAAAGGUGGUCGAUAUCAGGUCAAAUUAAAUUUCUGAAACCCCACUUCGACCUUCGAUCGACAUCUUACACCUGUAUGAACCUCAAGAUUAGCUUGGAUUUGGACGUUACGCAAGAACGACGAUGCGGAUCAAGGAUGAGCUCGUCGAACCGGUUCAAUAACGUUCAUAGGGAGCUAGGAAGCGACGACACGUUCCAUUUAUUCUUAACCAAUAUCCUCUAUCAAACGAAUUUACAUCGUAUAGAAAAAUUCUUUCACCACCAUGCCGCUAUUGUUGUUUCCCUUCCCUUCGUCAGAAAUGAAUUCCUUUCUUUCUUUUUUUCAACAUGAAAAGAGGUUAUGAAUUUAAUAGGUUCGAGCAUGUAUCUUCUUUCACCACGUGAUAAAGGUAAUUGUGAAGUGCUUGCAGGGAAGAGAUAUAUUUGUAACGAUUUCAGGAGGAUUAAAAAAGAAGAAGAAGAAAAUUGGUGCUUCGAGUUGAAAUAAACAUUGAUUGGAAAAAAUUUUUUUCAUACGUAUGUAUUUAUUUGAACAACUUGGGUAUUUUUAUAUGAGAUAAUUUUAACAUAUUUAUAAAAAAAAUAUAUAGACAAGAGAUAUAAAUUAAUUCCAUAAAUCUUGAUUGAAUUUUCGAAUUUUAAUAUCGUAUAAAAUAUUUCAUAAAGGAACAAGUCAUCCGGGUAAAUGACAGCUACAAAUGUGUCAAUGAUCUCACCUCGUCCCCGAACAAUUUACGCAUACUAAUCGAGUAUUCGUGGCAAAAAUUGGCAUUAGCUCAUCGAGCGACACCUUUGACAAGGUUAAUACCCGUUUAAAGCGACAUUGCCAUUGCCCUCGACUCGUUACUUUGACUUGAACGAAAUGCUAUCUAAUCACUCGUAAUCACGGACAAUUUAUUUGCCAAAUUAUAGAUAAUUCAAGGUUAAUGACUUUUUCUUUGUUUUCCAAUUAACGAGAAACUUUUAUUCGUACUCAUUUUCCUACACAUUUUUAAAUAGAUAAAUGUGUUUUAAAAAGAUUAUAACGAACGAGUAACAAUCUCUUUUCCCCUGUUGUUUUCAAAUUGAUAAAACACCUCGAAUAAAAUCAAUACGGGUGAAUAUCUAAUAUUUCUAUAUACACAUCGAUGAAUAAAGUAAAUAUCCUUGACAAAUAAUUUUGAAUUAUUAUUAAUAAUAACGAAGGCAGAAAAACUGUAUUUAAUAAUACAGAUUGAGAAUUGUAUGCCUCGAUGUUUAUAUUAUACCAAGCACAAAGCGUCUCUCUUUCAUAGUGGAAACAAACUCUCUCAUUUAUCCCCUUCUCGUCCAUCCAACCGCAAUAGAAACGCGAGCACGCUAUAUAAACUUCAUUCAUCGAUCCCGGCUUUUAAAUUUACUGAAACCACGUAACACACUAUCACAUCGUUUCGAGGCAUUACGUAACAACGAUGCUCGAGAAACAAGGAGGAGGGGAGAGAAAAAAAAGAAAAAAAGAAAAUAGAUGCAACGAUUAUGUCGUCAUACUCGAUGGAAAUAUUCAAGAAAACCACGAAACACGAUCGAAUAUCAAAAUCUCGAACACGCUCUUUUUCACUUCUCUUCACACUUCUUAUCGUCGAUACUUUAAUACACGAAAUCCCAGAUCGAGGAGGAGAUGUUAUUGUUUUAUAUAUAAUUAAAAUAAGAGGGAAUGACGAAUUGAUUUCGAUCGAUCGAGAAGUCGACCGAUGGAUACGACGAAGUGGACUGGUGCAGGACCUCGCGAGUGCCUUGUCGAGAGCAGACAUCGAUCCAACUUCGGCCUUUGGAAUGCAUCGCGCCAUUAUAUAAUUACGUGGAACGUAAUGUUACAUCGUUACGCAAUGAAGCAAAGGCCCGUGCCACGGACGCGGCCGUGCAAAAUGGAUAGAUCGAGGCUCUAAAAUUAAUUUCGAGCGUGUCCCUUUAGCCAGAAGUUGACUGAUUCGUGGGAUUAUUAACGACUCGUAACGUUUGUCAAAGUGAAUUAAAUUCGUCGAAAAUCAUUUUAAUCGUAUCCAGUGUUAAUUCUUCAAUAUUCUGGAAUUUUUUAAAUUUUGAAAAAAUUCAGGAUUGAUUGUCGUGUGAAUUUUCCAGAGUUAUCGUUAAGUUUUUCAUCAAAUGUACAUCAUUGUCCCUCACAACUACAUUUGUGUAAACAAUUGAUACGUAAUUAAAACUUUAUAAAAAAUCAUCUGCACCAGAAAAAUACAUCAACUCGAAAUCGAUCGAAAACUCAUAAAUCCAAUAUUCGACUAUCAUUUAUACCAAGUUGGAAAUAUUUCUUCCGUUCUCGACAAAAGAAAAAAAAGAAAAAACGACGGACACAAAGGAAAAUUUCGACCCACCCACUCUUUUUACUGGUCAUCGACAUGGACGUAGGCGUAGAGAAACAUCAUUUGGAUUGGAGUAGCGUAAAACGAUUCGCCUCGUCGACCGAAUCAUCGAUCGGAUCUCCUUCGUUUGAUGCGAUUUAUAUCUAAUUGCAACGUACGAAGGCUCCAUGGGAAAUGGACGUGGAAGAGGAGGCGUGGAAAACUCGUAUCCUCGAGAUGGUCGAUGCGGCAAUUGAUGGUCUUCGCGGUCUCGAACGAAGGAACUGGCUUAAUUGAAGAAUUAGUUUAGAUCACGUAAGCGUAAUUCUUAAGAGAUAAUAAUUAACAGACGAAGAGGAAUAAUUGUGAAAUAUAUAUAUAUGUGUGUGUGUGUGUGUAAAGAUUUACAUCGUGUGUGAAUUAAAUAGGGAAAUAGAUUGGCCAAGGACUCAAGCGAUUUAUGAAAUUUAUGCUAUAACUCAAAGGUAAUUAUACAAGUGUGAUUUUCCGAUAAGAAAAAUCCAAAGAAAAGAAAAAAAAAAAUUGAAUAUCAGAUUUGAAUAAUGAUUAUUUAAAUGCUCGAUGCUAAUUCAUUUCCACAUAUACGUGAAAAUUUUUAUAUCGUUGAAUAUUAAUUAUUCAACGAUUUUUCUGCAUUAUUCCUGUAUCGCAAAUAUUUUUUACGCUAUAUUUUUAUAUACGAAUAAUUGAUGCAUGAACAUUAAAAUCAAGUAUUUAAAUUAAAUAAUUGAAUAAGUAUAUUCAACAAACACAAAAUCUUCCAUGAAUUAUAUAUUCAUAAGGAAUUAAUUCUUCACAAUCUCUGUGUUGACUUUUAAUUAUGCAUGGGAGAGAAAAAAAUUAUUCUAAUAAUCUACUACUGAUUAAGAAGUUCAUUAUGUGGAGGAGCU
rnacentral:lncRNA from 1 species